UUACCUGGUUGAUCCUGCCAGUAGUCAUAUGCUUGUCUCAAAGAUUAAGCCAUGCAUGUCUAAGUGCAAGCCAAAUUAAGGUGAAACCGCGAAUGGCUCAUUAAAUCAGUUAUGGUUCCUUAGAUAAUACACCAAGUUACUUGGAUAACUGUGGUAAUUCUAGAGCUAAUACAUGCAAACAGAGUUCCGACUCGAGAGGGAAGGAACGCUUUUAUUAGAUCAAAACCAAUCGGUCGCCGGCGCGCCGCCCUCGGGCACGCGUCGCGCGCAUCCGCAUUCGUAUUUGGUGACUCUGAAUAACCACUGAGCAGAUCGCACGGUCUCGUACCGGCGACGCAUCUUUCAAAUGUCUGCCUUAUCAACUGUCGAUGGUAGGCUCUGCGCCUACCAUGGUUGUAACGGGUAACGGGGAAUCAGGGUUCGAUUCCGGAGAGGGAGCCUGAGAAACGGCUACCACAUCCAAGGAAGGCAGCAGGCGCGCAAAUUACCCACUCCCGGCACGGGGAGGUAGUGACGAAAAAUAACGAUACGGGACUCAUCCGAGGCCCCGUAAUCGGAAUGAGCACAACUUAAAUACUUUAACGAGUAUCCAUUGGAGGGCAAGUCUGGUGCCAGCAGCCGCGGUAAUUCCAGCUCCAAUAGCGUAUAUUAAAGUUGUUGCGGUUAAAAAGCUCGUAGUUGGACUUGUGUCCCGCGCCGCCGGUUCGUCGCCCGUCGACGCAACCGCGCGGUUAUGUGAGCGGGACGUCCGGCCGGUGGGUCGCCAGGUCGCGCCAGAGGCUGGCCGCGUGUCACUAGGGCGUCGUCCCGUCGUAGCGGGUGCCGUGUGCGUCGUCCGCCCUCCCGUCCGCGGGAGCGUGUGGCUGNCCCUCCCCCGCUUCGGCGUCAAGGGGCGCGUCCGAGGGCGCGCCGCGUCGGUCGGCGCGGUGCCGGACCCAUGUUACUCGUCUCGGUGCUCUUAAUCGAGUGUCUUGACGGGCCGGCCCGUUUACUUUGAACAAAUUAGAGUGCUUAAAGCAGGCCAAUUGCUGCCUGAAUAUUGUGUGCAUGGAAUAAUGGAAUAGGAUCUCGGUUCUAUUUUGUUGGUUUUCUGAACCAGAGAUAAUGAUUAAUAGAGACUGACGGGGGCAUUCGUAUUACUACGUUAGAGGUGAAAUUCUUGGAUCGUAGUAAGACGAACAUAAGCGAAAGCACUUGCCAAGAAUGCUUUCUUUAAUCAAGAACGAAAGUUAGAGGUUCGAAGGCGAUCAGAUACCGCCCUAGUUCUAACCAUAAACGAUGCCAACUAGCGAUCCGCCGGUGUUCCUCCGAUGACCCGGCGGGCAGCUUCCGGGAAACCAAAGUGUUUGGGUUCCGGGGGAAGUAUGGUUGCAAAGCUGAAACUUAAAGGAAUUGACGGAAGGGCACCACCAGGAGUGGAGCCUGCGGCUUAAUUUGACUCAACACGGGAAACCUCACCAGGCCCGGACACUGGAAGGAUUGACAGAUUGAUAGCUCUUUCUUGAUUCAGUGGGUGGUGGUGCAUGGCCGUUCUUAGUUGGUGGAGCGAUUUGUCUGGUUAAUUCCGAUAACGAACGAGACUCUGGCCUGCUAAAUAGUCGCAAAAUUAACGACAUCCGCAUUCGUGCUGUCGGCGACAAAUAUAAACUCUUCUUAGAGGGACAGGCGGCGUCUAGCCGCACGAGAUUGAGCAAUAACAGGUCUGUGAUGCCCUUAGAUGUUCUGGGCCGCACGCGCGCUACACUGAAUGGUUCAACGUGUGUCUCCCCUUGACCGAGAGGUCCGGGUAACCCGCUGAAAUCCAUUCGUGCUAGGGAUCGGGGCUUGCAAUUAUUCCCCGUGAACGAGGAAUUCCCAGUAAGCGCGAGUCAUAAGCUCGCGUUGAUUACGUCCCUGCCCUUUGUACACACCGCCCGUCGCUACUACCGAUUGAAUGAUUUAGUGAGGUCUUCGGACCGUCGCGCGGCGGCGCCCGCGAGGGCCCGUCGAUGUUCGACGGAAAGAUGAUCAAACUUGAUUAUUUAGAGGAAGUAAAAGUCGUAACAAGGUUUCCGUAGGUGAACCUGCGGAAGGAUCA
rnacentral:rRNA from 1 species